rnacentral:rRNA from 1 species
AUUGAACGCUGGCGGCAGGCCUAACACAUGCAAGUCGAGCGGACGAAGGGAGCUCGCUCCCGGAUUCAGCGGCGGACGGGCGAGUAAUGCCUAGGAAUCUGCCUGGCAGUGGGGGCUAACGUCCGGUCACGGGCGCUAAUACCGUAUACGUCCUGAGGUUGAACGUGGGGGAUCUUCGGACCUCACGCUAUCUGAUGAGCCUAGGUCGGAUUAGCUAGUUGGUGGGGUAAAGGCCUACCAAGGCGACGAUCCGUAACUGGUCUGAGAGGAUGAUCAGCCACACUGGAACUGAGACACGGUCCAGACUCCUACGGGAGGCAGCAGUAGGGAAUCUUGGACAAUGGGCGAAAGCCUGAUCCAGCCAUGCCGCGUGAGUGAAGAAGGUCUUCGGAUUGUAAAGCACUUUAAGUUGGGAAGAAGAGAAGUAUGUGAAUACCUUGCUGUUUUGACGGUACCAACAGAGUAAGCACCGGCUAACUUCGUG